UACGAACUGUGGAAGCACAAGGUCCAGUGAAUGUGAUGCAUGUGAGCUUUCAGAGACUGCACAAGUUCACAGACGGGGCACGUAAACUGGACUCAUGCACCUGGUCGUGUCUGUCUGUUGAAUGAUGUCAGGGAUCUUCCUCUCGCUUGGGGUGAGCAGAGCAGGGAGUCAACUCAGAGAGACACUGAGAUACCCAAAGCCAUAUCUUAUAAACAAGUAUGAGAGAAACUCAUCAUUGGCAACAUUCUUCUCAGAGAUUGGUGAGAUAAAACAGCAUACAUAUCCUUAGCAAGUCUCAGGACCAUUUUCUGUGUCAGUGAACAGAACAAAGGAGCAGGGACUGAAAACCUUUCUCAACUGUGGCUUUGAUUUGAUGACGUAGAUGAUCGCCCAGGCUUUUGUGAAGUACUAGAUCCUCACCUGCAGUUCAUCUUCUCAUUAAAACUCCAAUCCUGCUCUGCUCGUAUACCCGGCUCUCUGCACCAGUCUUUGCCAGAGUGUUCUGCUACAGUGAGGUCUCAUUUUUUGGUUCAGGUCCUGUUUUGUCACUACGCCUCACCUCA